UCGGUUCUCGUCUACAGACUCUGCCUCAUCUGUGCGGGGCACAACAACGUGGGUUCUGCUACAUCCGUACUAUAUAUACUCUGCUCCCAAGUCCUGGCCAUCGGAUUCCAGUUCAGUUGCACCAGUAUCGUGACAACUGGUCUCUCAUCUGA